GACGAACGCUGGCGGCGUGCUUAACACAUGCAAGUCGAACGGAAAGGCCCUGCUUUCGUGGGGUGCUCGAGUGGCGAACGGGUGAGUAACACGUGAGUAACCUGCCCUUGACUUUGGGAUAACUUCAGGAAGCGGGGGCUAAUACCGGAUAGGAGCCCCUGUUGCAUGGAGGGGGGUGGAAAGUUUCGGCGGGUGGGGAUGGACUCGCGGCUUAUCAGCUUGUUGGUGGGGGAGUGGCAUACCAAGGCUUUGACGGGUAGCCGGCCUGAGAGGGUGACCGGCCACAUUGGGACUGAGAUACGGCCCAGACUCCUACGUGAGGCAGCAGUGGGGAAUAUUGCACAACGGGCGGAAGCCUGAUGCAGCAACGCCGCGUGUGGGAUGACGGCCUUCGGGUUGUAAACCGCAUUCGCCUGUGACGAAGCGUGAGUGACGGUAAUGGGUAAAGAAGCACCGGCUAACUACGUG
rnacentral:rRNA from 1 species